UUCUGGACAUUUUUCCAUUGCUCCCUCUUUGGGAUGUCAAUAAAAAAAAUUACGCUAUUAUCAUCAGCUGAUUCAUGAUAUUUUUUUUUAUUGUAUCAUCAAACACUUGUUCAAGGACUAAUAAGGAUUAAUUAGGAGGCUAUGUUUGACAGUAUUGUUCAAGUCAUGCAAUGUAAUAAUUACUGAUGUUAAAAAUCUUUUCAAUCACUUUCCGGUUGACAUUGGCAAGGCUGUAGACAAACACUGAUUCAGUACUUCCAGAGAGUCGACUCCAGCACACACAGAAAAAUCAAAAAAGACAGUUCUGAAAUGACUUCUAAAGUGCUUGUGAAACUGCCAACAGUUCCAUUUUCUCAAGGAAAAAAAUCAGCUGAGUUGAUGACAUUAUCUGCAAGAAAUGAGGGUGUUUCGACUCCAGUACGUUCUCAACAGGGUAUUAAUGGAGAAAGGACAGCACAAUUGGAACAAAACAUCAAAUUUCUUCAAGAACAGCAUCAAGCAACGCUUCUUUCAUUACAUCAAGAAAUAGAAUCUCUUCGUCAACGAAAUAGAGAUUUACAAUUUCAACUGGUGUUUAAUAAAGGAACUAUUUCUGCAACUAGUAGCCCAUCAUCUCCAGAAGAUAAUUCGAAUGGGUUCAUCAAACCUAAGGGAAGCCCAGUUUGUGUCAAUGUUACUCCUCUACAGAUCGAACUCCUGGAACGUGAUCUAGAAGAACUGAAAGUUUCUUUCAAUGAAGCAAAAAAGCAAAAUUUUCAACUUCAAGAAGUCAUUGAAAAUCAAAAGAUAAAGUUAGAACAGGCAGAGAAAGAGAAAGAGAAACUCCCAUCGACUGAGGCUGGAAUUCAAGUGGGAGAAGCAUCAGAAGCAGUACAAAACGAUUUAGCAGCACGAUUGGAGGAUGCAGAGGCAUUAGUAAAAAGAUUGCAACGCGAAAAUGCAGACCAGCAACGAGAAAUAGCGUCAAUGAAAGCAUCAUCAGCUAAAAAUGGAAAUCGUAAUGGACAUGGUCGAGGUCGAGGGAAUGAAAAUGGCCAUCAUAGCAGAGGAUCAUCAGGAGAUCCUGGACAAUCAAAUAGAAAUUCUUAUAAAUUUCCACCAUUAGAGAAUGAGAAUUAUUGGAGGAAUGUUACUCGAGGCCGUUCAAGUUACGAGCGUCAGUCGGGUCCACAUCGACGAAAUCAUCCGGAAAAAGAAGACAGUGAACCAACUGAUAUGCCCUGCAGAAUUGUCUUACCUGAGUUAUUGAAUAGCAAUGUAAAGCCAGACCUUCCUUGCUAUCCUCCAUUUUAUCGUUCACAGAGAGGAUAUCAUAGUGGUGGAAACUACUAUAGAGAUGGUGGAAAUCGAAAAUUUAGAGGUCAAGGACGUCCAAGAGAUCGUCGAGAUCAAGAUCAUCGUGGCGAUUAUCGAGAUCGAAAUUCGCGAGAACAGUAAUGAGACUUUAACGAUGGCGCACAUACGUCGAGAAAUCAGUAACAAAUUUCAUUAUUAAAUUAUACACGUUACCUCUGCAUUGGAAAAUCAAGUAAAUAUUUAUUAUUCACUUUUAUGAGGAAAGUUUAAUAGGUAUGUUCAUAUAUUAUAAAAGAUUGAAUAUUCUACACUCGGGGAAAAUAUUUUAUAAAAAGUAAUAUAUAUUAUUUGAAAAAGAGAUUAAUUUUUGAAUAUUUAGUAUAUAUUUUUUCAUUUCAUUUAUUCCAGUUGAGUUUAGCUGUACCACAAAUAUAUUUUAUGUAAAUUUGGAUUAAUACUUUGAAAAAUGAAUAUCUUUAUUAUAAGUUCACUUUUUAUAAAAGUAAAUAAUGUUAUUUUAUUUAUUUUAAAUAUAUUAUUCUUUUCUCUUAUGUGAAAGAUCAAGUUUCACAUCAUAUGUAGCUGGAUAAUAGCCGUAUGAUCUGGCAUUAUGAUAAAAAAUGUAGCGAGAUAUAAUGAAUCAAUACAAAAAUACAAAUUAUAAAUUAUAGAGGAAUAUUUACAAUCGUAUUAGAAUCUCCAUCAUACUCUAAAUUUAAUUCAAUAUUAACCCGUAUUAAAUACGAAUUUAAUAAAAAAAUUAAAUACAAAAAAUAAUGGAAUUAUGUAAGACUUAAUAACAACUUAGGAAAGUCAACAUUUCCAGAAAUUAAUUAUUCCAAACUUUAUAGAAAAAAAAAAACAUCGUAAACAUUUAUAUUCCUCCAAGAAAUUACAUAAA
rnacentral:misc_RNA from 1 species